UACGUAGAAGACUAGUGUUAUUCAUCUUUAAUAGGUUUAAAGGGUACCUAGACGGUAUAAUUAGUCUUUAACAGGGAAACGGUUAUACGUAGAGUUAUAUAUAGAGGAGGUGAGUAUUUGUGGAGUAGAGUUGAAAUUCUUUGAUACCAUGAAGACUGGUAAAGGCGAAAGCAACCUUUUAUCUAAUAACUGACGUUGAGGGACGAAGGCUCGGGUCGCGAACAGG
rnacentral:rRNA from 1 species